CUGCUGGAGGAGAGGCUUUGUUCACCAGUGUGCAGAGAAAGAGAAAGCAAAGAAAGACGAGAAGUUUUCAGCUGUUCAUUCGGUACUGUGCUGGUUGGUGCUGGACAGAGGAGGCUGAGGAUGAGGAGAGCAGUGGGCAGAAGAAGAAGAUAAAACUGCAAGAAGUUUCCAUUUUGGGAAAGGUGUGGCCCAGUAGCAAAAUCUCUACUGCAGGCGUGGACUGUUUUUAGCGCUGUUGUCUUUCCAAGAAGCAUGAUUUCCAUGUAUGCCAUGAUAUAUCAGGCAGGUGUGGAGUAAAUUUAGACCCCUGCGUAAACCUCUGCUACCCAGGAUCUGUGCUGCAUUCCAGUUCUGCAUGAUAGCUAUAACCUUCCCGUGACACCAGCCAAACUGGACACAUCAGCACUGGAACAGCGAGACGUAGGCCAGAGCUUUUC